CCCCCCAGACUAGCCCAGAGGCUUGCUUGCCCCCCCCCAUUUAACUCCUGCCUUAUAACAACAGAAUUCUAGAGCCACUAGCUCUAUAGAGAAAUUCUCUCCCUGUUUCUGGGGAGGCUCUUCUCAUGGAAUUGGGGCACAUCAAGAUUUGCUCUCAGAGGAGGUCCAAUCCAAGAUGGAAGCUAGCCAUCUUGGCAGGAAGAGAAAGCUGUGCUCACAGCCCCCAACCAACAGGUUCAGUCCUUGCUGAGCCUAAAGCCUGGAAUAAGCCCAGGAGUUUCCCUGGCCCUGCCUCCAGAGCCACAAGUGUGCCACAGGGACUGUCACAGGCCUCGGGCAGCCAUUAUUAGACAAGCAGAGCUGAAGCUGGAGCCCCCACUGAGAGUCGAUGGAUAGUGACGUCAACGCUGACCUCGCUCCUGCCGCAGUCUCCCUCCUUCCAGCCACAGCCCAGUUUUGGGGAGCCCCUGCCCCGGCUGCAUUUACCUUCCCCACUAGCCCUCUCCCCCUGCUUCCUUCCUCCCUCCCUCCCUCCUCCCACCGCUGCUGCUCCGGACUAGAGCUGUCAGGGGGGCUUAUUAACCGCUGCAAUCCCGGGCACCAGGCUCGGAGAGAGAGAACUACAGGGGCCGCCAUUGAUGUCCCAAGACCAGCCCCUCUAUCCCUUCUUAAACACCCCUGGGCUUCCUGUAUUGUCAUCCAGCAGUGCCGCCUUAUUGUCCUUUCUCACAGUGCACUCUCCCUUUCUUUCUAGGUGUCCCUGUCAUGGGAGACUGAGCCAUUUGCUUUAUACUCUCAUUAAGGGAAAGAACUUGACCAUUUUCUCCUAUAUUCUCUGUUCACAUGACUCUGGAGUCUCAUAUAAAGAAUAAUGUAAACUUCUGAA